rnacentral:rRNA from 1 species
GACGAACGCUGGCGGCGUGCCUAAUACAUGCAAGUCGAACGCUGAAGAGAGGAGCUUGCUCUUCUUGGAUGAGUUGCGAACGGGUGAGUAACGCGUAGGUAACCUGCCUUGUAGCGGGGGACAACUAUUGGAAACGACAGCUAAUACCGCAUAACAAUGGAUGACACAUGUCAUUUAUUUGAAAGGGGCAAUUGCUCCACUACAAGAUGGACCUGCGUUGUAUUAGCUAGUAGGUGAGGUAAUGGCUCACCUAGGCGACGAUACAUAGCCGACCUGAGAGGGUGAUCGGCCACACUGGGACUGAGACACGGCCCAGACUCCUACGGGAGGCAGCAGUAGGGAAUCUUCGGCAAUGGGGGCAACCCUGACCGAGCAACGCCGCGUGAGUGAAGAAGGUUUUCGGAUCGUAAAGCUCUGUUGUAAGUCAAGAACGGGUGUGAGAGUGGAAAGUUCACACUGUGACGGUAGCUGACCAGAAAGGGACGGCUAACUACGUG